GCUGGCGGCGUGCAUAACACAUGCGAGUCGAGCGAUGACUCUUAGAUGAUUUCUUCGGAAUGAACUUAAGACGGAUUAGUUGGCCGAGACGGGGUGAGAUAACACGCUGUAGUAACCCUGCCUUACACAAGGGGAUAGCCUUUGGAAACGAAGAAUAAUACCCUAUAACGUCAAUUUAUCGCAUGAUAGAAUGACCAAAGAUUUAUCGGUGUAAGAUGGACUUGCGUCUGAUUAUCUAGUUGGUGAGAUAAAGGCCCACCAAGGCAACGAUCAGUAGCCGGCUUGAGAGAGUGUACGGCCACAUUGGGACUGAGACACGGACCAAACUCCUACGGGAGGGAGCAGUGGGGAAUUUUGCACAAUGGGGGAAACCCUGAUGCAGCGACGCCGCGUGAUUGAGAAGGGAUUCCGGUUGUAAAAAUCUUUUUUAUGGGAUGAAAAUGACUGUACCAUACGAAUAGAGGUCCGGCUAAAUACGUGCCUGCAGCCGCGGUAAUACGUACGUACCGAGCGAUGUCCGGAAUCAUUGUACCGUAAAGAAUACGUAGGCGGCCUCGUACGUUAGAAGUGAAAUAAUACACCCCACCCAUAUAAGGGUUUGAAAAUGGCUAGGCCUGACAGUAGCCAGGGAAAGUAGAAUUCCCAGCGUAACGGUGAAAUGCGCAGAUAUUAUGUAGAAUACCAAUGCCCAGGGGGACUUUCUGGUCUUCUUAUGAACGUAAAGUACACAAAAGGUGGUUUGCAAAGAGAAUUAGAUACCCUGGGCUUGGCCACGCCGCCCACCAAAAAAAGGAAAGGUUGGG
rnacentral:rRNA from 1 species